rnacentral:tRNA from 1 species
GCGGGUAUGGCGUAAUUGGUAGCCGCGUCAGAUUUAGGAUCUGGUGCCUUAGGGCGUGUGGGUUCGAGUCCCUCUAUCCGCA